rnacentral:rRNA from 1 species
CACGUAGGGUGCGAGCGUUGUCCGGAAUUAUUGGGCGUAAAGAGCUCGUAGGCGGUGUGUCGCGUCGGCCGUGAAAACCUGCAGCUUAACUGUGGGCUUGCGGUCGAUACGGGCAUCACUGGAGUUUGGCAGGGGAGACUGGAAUUCCUGGUGUAGCGGUGAAAUGCGCAGAUAUCAGGAGGAACACCGAUGGCGAAGGCAGGUCUCUGGGCCACUACUGACGCUGAGAAGCGAAAGCAUGGGGAGCGAACAGG